rnacentral:rRNA from 1 species
GGCUUGUAAUUGAAGUCUGGAAUGAAAGAAGACAUGGAUAGUCUCUGUCUCUUAACUUUAAACUGAAUUUACUAAUUAGGUGAAAAGUCCUAUAAAUAACUAAUAGACGAGAAGACCCUUGAAAUUUUUUAUAUAACAGUAUAGAUACUUCAUAAUUUUGUUGGGGCGACAGGAUAACAAAUAACUUGUCUUGUAUAUAUUAGCAUUUUAUUUAAGGAAAAAAUAAAUUACUCGAGGGAUAACAGCAUAAUGUGUUUAAAGUUUGUGACCUCGAUGUUGGACUAGGGU